rnacentral:rRNA from 1 species
GACGAACGCUGGCGGCGUGCUUAACACAUGCAAGUCGAACGAAGUGGCGAACGGGUGAGUAACGCGUAAUCAACCUGGCCUUCUGCGGGGGACAACAGUUGGAAACGACGACUAAUGCCGCAUACUGAGGGAGGGGAUUGCGUCUGAUUAGCUAGGUGGAGGGGUAACGGCCCACAAAGGCGAUGAUCAUUAGCCGACCUGAGAGUGUGAACGGCCAAAUUGGGACUGAGACACGGCCCAGACUCCUACGGGAGGCAGCAGUGGGGAAUCUUCCGAAAUGGACGAAAGUCUGACGGAGCAACGCCGCGGGAGUGAUGACGGUCUUCGGGUUGUAAAGCUCUGUUGAUCGGGAAGCGGUACCGGAAUAGAAAGCCACGGCUAACUACGUGCCAGCAGCCGCGGUAAUAC